UGGUCAUCCACAAGCACUAGAUACAGAACACAAGAGUCAAGACUUGCAAGUUUGCCCUAUGCUCACACCCACAAUAUGUUUGUUGAAAUACUCUAGAGAUAGCUGCAACAAGGAUGUAGGACUAUGCAUUAAUUGCAGUUUCCGAAUAACAAACAGGAUUGCCAAAAAAAUAUUUUGAGGCUUCAUUGCUCCAAAAUCAGGAAAUUCGUUCACCGCACAAACAUGGUGUCUCAGUCAUCGGCUGCCGAUGUCAUCAAGAUUUCUUCAUAUCUCUGUGGCAUGUUUUUCAUCGUGCUCUCCUGUUUUUUAUUGCAUCUGAUUCAUGUUUGUUAUCCUUCCUUGCUUUUCCUUGUACAGGAAACAACCAAAUAGAUGUUGUCAAAGCAGCUUGAUUCAUCUUUGUUCUCCUUCCUUGCUUUGCCUUGUAGAUGAGACAACCAAAUAGAUGUUGUCAUAGCUAGGAGAGGAGGAGGUGUCUGCGUUGCUGCAGCAUUAGGAAGAGCAUCAUGGCUUCGAAGGUCACACCCUGACGGUGCCUGCCCUGCCACACGAUCCACGCAUGCUGGUACAAAUGGUUCCCUCCUGUGGAUGACAAGGAUGAAGAUCGCUAUCGUCACGGCCAAGGGCCUUGCCUUUCUCCAUGACGCCAACCUGCCGGUGAUCUACAAGGCCUCCAACAUCUUGCUCUACUCGGGUCAGUUUGAGCCUCCUUGAGCUCGACGUGAUCGGGGGCCAGUGCUCUACACGCUUGCCGACGUGGUGGCCGUCGAGGUGGUGGUCGUCAUGGUCGACUUGACGGCAAGGAUAGCAGGAGGAACAGAUGUGAAAAAGCGAUGGUCGUCGAGGUCGGCUUUACCUGCUAAGUGCAUCUACUUUUCGCCAGUGCUAACCAUUGUUUUGAAGCACCUUUCUUCUUUGUAAUCAUUCAUUUAGGCUGUAAAACUGCUGCUUCUCUGUUCAUACU